GCUUCCGAAAGUCUGGAUGCACCAACACUGGCGCGCAGGCAGUCCGUUAACGGCGCGGAAAUCGUGGAAAAAUUCCGAAUGAAACGCCUAUACCAGCCAGCGGUCCCCAAGAAUCGGCGGAGCUGCUUUGCGCUGGUCGGCAAGGAAAUCGCCCGAAUCGCCUCGACCUUCUCUGGAUCCGUCCGCAACGCACCAUCGCCAACCACAAACCCCAGAUACUUCAAGUACUUGUAGCAGAACUUGGAUUUUUUUAAGGAAAUCGUCAAAUUGGCUACUUUCAAAGCACUUGCCACGUCCAACAGCACCUUGCAAUGAUCCUCAAACGUUCUGGAUAUUAUGAGAAGGUCGUCCAGGUAGACGAAUACAUGGCUUCUCAAACGCUGGGGAAUCACCUUAUCCAUCACCCGGCAAAGGCGCUGCGCCGCAUUGCACAACCCGAACGGCAUGGCCUUAAAUUGAUACAGUGGCCUUCCUGGUACCGUAAACGCGGUGUACUGCCGGCUUUCCUGAUCCAGUUCGAUCUGCCAAAAAGCAUGCUUUAGAUCCAGGCUGCUGAUGUAAAUGGUAUCCUCCACUCGGCUCAAGAUCGACUCACUGCUCUGGAGUGGGCUUCCUCACCAAAGUCACUCGGUUGCUCCAUGGACUCUCACUUGGCUCGAUAACCCCUAGCCGAAGCAUCUCGUCGACUUCUGCAAACAAUAGCGCCUGCACUGCCGGCGACACGGGAUAAAAACGCUCUUUCACUGGCAGUGCCCCCUCCGUCAACUGAAUGUGGUGCUGCUCCACUGGCGUCCUACCCAGACCGUGCUCCUCGAAGGAUCUGAAUUGGGCCACGACUCGCUGUAACUUCUCCUGUUGCCACGCCUCUAAAUCGUGUGGCUCCGUUGGUGUACUCUUUCCUAAGCGCUCCUCCUCCAACUCAGCCACGUGCUGUCCUUCGUCCACAGCCGGGAUCACAUUCGGAGCCAAACCGAACCUGCGCCAAAAAUCCACGCCCAGAUAAAGCGGUUGGCACAACGACGGGCAAACGUGGAAUACCAUUUCCGACUCUGUUCCGUUAUACCUAACGCGCGCCAUCACGCUGCCAA